AAUGUGGUUAGGAAUGUGGUUAGGAAUGUGGUUAGGUGUUAGGAAUGUGGUUAGGCGUUAGGAAUGUGGUUAGGCGUUAGGAAUGUGGUUAGGCGUUAGGAAUGUGGUUAGGCGUUAGGAAUGUGGUUAGGCGUUAGGAAUGUGGUUAGGAAUGUGGUUAGGCGUUAGGAAUGUGGUUAGGCGUUAGGAAUGUGGUUAGGCGUUAGGAAUGUGGUUAGGCGUUAGGAAUGUGGUUAGGAAUGUGGUUAGGCGUUAGGAAUGUGGUUAGGCGUUAGGAAUGUGGUUAGGAAUGUGGUUAGGAAUGUGGUUAGGCGUUAGGAAUGUGGUUAGGCGUUAGGAAUGUGGUUAGGCGUUAGGAAUGUGGUUAGGCGUUAGGAAUGUGGUUAUGAAUGUGGUUAGGUGUUAGGAAUGUGGUUAGGAAUGUGGUUAGGUGUUAGGAAUGUGGUUAGGUGUUAGGAAUGUGGUUAGGAAUGUGGUUAGGAAUGUGGUUAGGAAUGUGGUUAGGAAUGUGGUUAGGUGUUAGGAAUGUGGUUAGGAAUGUGGUUAGGAAUGUGGUUAGGAAUGUGGUUAGGUGUUAGGAAUGUGGUUAGGUGUUAGGAAUGUGGUUAGGAGUUAGGAAUGUGGUUAGGCGUUAGGAAUGUGGUUAGGCGUUAGGAAUGUGGUUAGGUGUUAGGAAUGUGGUUAGGUGUUAGGAAUGUGGUUAGGCGUUAGGAAUGUGGUUAGGAAUGUGGUUAGGCGUUAGGAAUGUGGUUAGGCGUUAGGAAUGUGGUUAGGUGUUAGGAAUGUGGUUAGGCGUUAGGAAUGUGGUUAGGAAUGUGGUUAGGUGUUAGGAAUGUGGUUAGGCGUUAGGAAUGUGGUUAGGCGUUAGGAAUGUGGUUAGGCGUUAGGAAUGUGGUUAGGCGUUAGGAAUGUGGUUAGGAAUGUGGUUAGGCGUUAGGAAUGUGGUUAGGUGUUAGGAAUGUGGUUAGGAAUGUGGUUAGGUGUUA